GUUCAAUUAAUGUUAAUAGUCAUCCGAACUUGAUUUUUUAUAUUUUGUUUCCUGAUCCAAAGAGAAGAAAAUCGUGGCUUUAUGCUUUAUAUAGAACUGAUUCAUCUUGCUAAAACAAACUUAGGUCGCAAAACAUGUCUAAGUAUGCUCAAAACAUUUUGUAUCUGAAUAUUAUGUACAAAAAAGUCAUUGCAAUAAAUCUCAAGUUAUUAAAGUCAGUUAACAAAUAAGUACUGACAAUUCAUUGACUGGAGUGGAAGAUGUUAGUGUCUUGAACCAACAUGAAACAACAAGUUAACUUAGCUGAGAAUGAUGGUAGUUUAAAAAUAAUGCAGCAUUGGCUAGGAUUGUUCCUAGGUCACAAAAACAAUCUUACAAAUAGAGUUUCUGCUGUUGUCACUGGUUUUAGAGAGUACCUUCGUGAAUGAAGAUAAAAAGUCAUUUAUGUUAUUUUUUAAAAGCCAAAACACAAUAUUGUUAAUCCUCAUACCAUUUACUAAAAAACUUUAUAAAUAUUGUUACGAUGUUAUAAUUCAAGUUGUUGUAAUUAGUAAUUUUGAUCAUUUCAUUAUUAUACUGUAAAAAAUAUUUUUUAUUUAUAACAUUUAUUUCACAUAUAUUAAAAACAUGAGGAAUAAAUAUUACACUGAGGAAAAUUUUAAGCAAAAUAUAGAAUUUUUAAAUGUUAUUAGAAUAUCAAUAUGUAAUA